UACGAAGGGGGCUAGCGUUGCUCGGAAUCACUGGGCGUAAAGCGCACGUAGGCGGACUCUUAAGUCAGGGGUGAAAUCCUGGAGCUCAACUCCAGAACUGCCUUUGAUACUGAAGAUCUUGAGUUCGGGAGAGGUGAGUGGAACUGCGAGUGUAGAGGUGAAAUUCGUAGAUAUUCGCAAGAACACCAGUGGCGAAGGCGGCUCACUGGCCCGAUACUGACGCUGAGGCACGA
rnacentral:rRNA from 1 species